rnacentral:rRNA from 1 species
UGAAUACGAGACGCUAAGGCGUCGAAGUAGUGUAUGUCAUACUUCCAAGAAAAGCUUGCACUGUCAUAGAUAAAAAACGCCUGUACCAUAACCGACACAGGUGGGUAGGUAGAGUAUACUAAGGGGCGCGAGAUAACUCUCUCUAAGGAACUCGGCAAAAUAACUCCGUAACUUCGGGAGAAGGAGUGCCUUAUUAUUAAGGCUGCAAUAACAAGAUCCAAGCAACUGUUUAUCAAAAACACAGGUCUCCGCUAAGUCGUAAGACGAUGUAUGGGGGCUGACGCCUGCCCAGUGCCAGAAGGUUAAAGAAGUUGGUUAGCAUUUGCGAAGCUGAUAACUGAAGCCCUGGUGAACGGCGGCCGUAACGAUAACGGUCCUAAGGUAGCGAAAUUCCUUGUCGGGUAAGUUCCGACCCGCACGAAAGGCGUAAUGAUUUGGAUACUGUCUCGGAGAGGGGCUCGGUGAAAUAGACUUGUCUGUGAAGAUGCGGACUACCCGCACCAGGACAGAAAGACCCUAUGAAGCUUUACUGUAACUUGAAAUUGAAAUUGGACUUUAUUCGCGCAGCAUAGGUGGGAGGCGUUGAUUAUAAUCUUGUGGGAUUAUUGGAGCCAUCAGUGAGAUACCACUCUUGUAAUGUUAGAUUUCUAACUUUGAAUCAUUAUCUGGUCAAAGAACAGUUUCAGGCGGGCAGUUUGACUGGGGCGGUCGCCUCCUAAACGGUAACGGAGGCGUACAAAGGUUUCCUCUGAACGGUUAGAAAUCGUAUCUAGAGUGUAAAGGCAUAAGGAAGCUUGACUGUGAGACCUACAAGUCGAGCAGGGACGAAAGUCGGUCUUAGUGAUCUGACGGUACUGAGUGGAAAGGCCGUCACUCAACGGAUAAAAGUUACUCUAAGGAUAACAGGCUGAUCUCCCCCAAGAGUUCACAUCGACGGGGAGGUUUGGCACCUCGAUGUCGGCUCAUCGCAUCCUGGGGCGGUAGUACGUCCCAAGGGUUGGGCUGUUCGCCCAUGAAAGCGGUACGCGAGCUGGGUUCAGAACGUCGUGAGACAGUUCGGUCCAUAUCCGGUGUAGGCGUUAGAAUAUUGAGAGGAGCCUUCUUUAGUACGAGAGGACCGAGAAGGACAUACCUCUGGUGUACCAGUUAUCGUGCCAACGGUAAACGCUGGGUAGCUAUGUAUGGAGUGGAUAACCGCUGAAAGCAUCUAAGUGGGAAGCCCACCUCAAGAUAAG